rnacentral:rRNA from 1 species
GACGAACGCUGGCGGCGUGCCUAAUACAUGCAAGUCGAACGCAGUUGCUAACGGGUGAGUAACGCGUAGGUAACUGCCUGGUAGCGGGGGGGAACUAUUGGUAGCGAUAGCUAAUACCGCCUCCUACCAGAUGGACCUGCGUUGUAUUAGCUAGUUGGUGGGGUGACGGCCCACCAAGGCAACGCUACAUAGCCGACCUGAGAGGGUGAUCGGCCACACCGGGACUGAGACACGGCCCAGACUCCUACGGGAGGCAGCAGUAGGGAAUCUUCGGCAAUGGACGGAAGGCUGACCGAGCAACGCCGCGGGAGUGAAGAAGGUUUUCGGAUCGUAAAGCUCUGUUGUAAGGGAAGCGGUAUCUUACCAGAAAGGGACGGCUAACUACGUGCCAGCAGCCGCGGUAAUAC